UCUGUCUAUGUACCAGGGUAGUAUGGUCUGUCUGUAUUGGCCUGUCUAGGUACCAGGGUAGUAUGGUCUGUCUGUAUUGGUACCAGGGUAAGGGUGGAGACCAGGACAAGUUCAGGGCAGAUGCUUGAAGGGAGGUUCCCCUCUCUUGUUCUAUGAAAGCAGAAGCCUGGAAUACACACUGAUCAUCAUUAUGUUUAUCUGUUGUUUAUCAGUGAAAAUACACAAAUGUAAUUAGAGUGAUAUUCAGCUCAAAUUCCAGGCUUGAAAACCAAAGGGUUUAUUUGCAAAUAAAGGGAACUGUAUACAAGUGCAA